rnacentral:misc_RNA from 1 species
GAACGCACAUUGCGCCCGGUGGUAUUCCGCCGGGCAUGCCUGUUCGAGCGUCAUUAUAACCACUCAAGCCUGGCUUGGUAUUGGAGUCCGCGGUCUCGCGGCUCUUAAACGCAGUGGCGGCGCCGGUUGGCUCUAAGCGUAGUAAAUCUCCUCGCUAUAGGGUCCCUCCGGUUGCUUGCCAGAACCCCCAAUUUUUUAAGGUUGACCUCGGAUCAGGUAGGGAUACCCGCUGAACUUAAG